UACAGAGGUUCCAAGCGUUGUUCGGAUUCAUUGGGCGUAAAGGGUGCGUAGGCGGCGCGGUACGUCGGGUGUGAAAUCUCGGAGCUUAACUCCGAAACUGCAUUCGAUACUGCCGUGCUUGAGGACUGGAGAGGAGACUGGAAUUCUUGGGGUAGCGGUGAAAUGCGUAGAUAUCAAGAGGAACACCUGCGGCGAAGGCGGGUUGCUGGGCCGACACUGACGCUGAUGCGCGAAAGCUAGGGGAGCGAACGGG
rnacentral:rRNA from 1 species